GACGAACGCUGGCGGCGUGCUUAACACAUGCAAGUCGAACGGAAAGGCCCUGCUUUUGUGGGGUGCUCGAGUGGCGAACGGGUGAGUAACACGUGAGUAACCUGCCCUUGACUUUGGGAUAACUUCAGGAAACUGGGGCUAAUACCGGAUAGGAGCUCCUGCUGCAUGGUGGGGGUUGGAAAGUUUCGGCGGUUGGGGAUAGACUCGCGGCUUAUCAGCUUGUUGGUGGGGUAGUGGCUUACCAGGGGUUUGACGGGUAGCCGGCCUGAGAGGGUGACCGGCCACAUGGGGACUGAGAUACGGCCCAGACUCCUACGGGAGGCAGCAGUGGGGAGUAUUGCGCAAUGGGCGGAAGCCUGAUGCAGCAACGCCGCGUGCGGGAUGACGGCCUUCGGGUUGUAAACCGCUUUCGCCUGUGACGAAGCGUGAGUGACGGUAAUGGGUAAAGAAGCACCGGCUAACUACGUG
rnacentral:rRNA from 1 species